rnacentral:lncRNA from 1 species
AGACAUGGCUCGGAUCCCAAGUUGCUGUGGCUCUGGCAUAGGCCGGUGGCUACAGUUCCAAUUCAACCCCUAGCCGGGGACCCUCCAUAUGCCGCGAGAGUGGCCCAAGAAAUGGCAAAAAGACAAAAAAAAAAAAAAAAAAAAAAGAAUGUUUGUUCUUCAGAAUAGUAAGCAUGUGUUUAGUCUGCCUAUAGUACGACCUAGUCUUAUUUGAAACUUUUUUGAGUCCAGGUAAUGAGCAUCUUCCAUAUCAGAACCUGUAUUUUGCUUUUUAUAUUUAAAUGACCUUAAACUCUGUCAAUUUUUGAAUAAAAAUAAUUUUCCAGAAUUUACUCUUUUACUGUGAAGAGCCAAUUGUCUUUAUAUAUUAUAAUACAUUUUCCUCCCCUGGGGAACAAAUAUAUAGUUGAUAGCUGUGCUUCUGGUUUACAUUUUGAAUUCAAUUCCACAGAUACAUGAAUACCUAGGUCUUGAAAAAGUUGACUCUUGGAUAGCACAGUUUUGAACAGCUCGGGUCCACUGCACAGGGAGUUGGUGCCCCUAACCACUGUGUUGUUCAAGGGUCAACUGUAUUUUAUAGCACUUUGAACCAAGAUGCAUUUCUGCUAAAUUACAAAAGUAUCAUUACCCCACCUAGAUAUUGUGGGAAGGCAGAGAAACUCAUAGUACAUAUAGAAUGGUGAAAUGAUUUCUUAAGACCCUGGUGUUUUAGAUCUGGAUUGACUAAUACUUUGGUAGAUGUUAUAUUUUGAUCUGAUUGAUCAGAAUUGAAAUCAGCAAGUACCUGACUCAUAGUAGUUUUUUUUGUUAGGCACAAGUAUUCUGCUGCCACAACAUCCUUUUAAGAUAAUAGGUAUAUCCAGCAAAAGGAGUGGGGAGAUAGUCUAAUAUUUAUUGGCAUAUCCUCUCUCCCUCUGGGCUUUGGUCUUUCUGGUAGUCUGAGGUUACUACUAUAGGUUUCACUCUUGCUCAUAAUACCUAUUUGGCUGUAAGGCUGGGCUCUGGUAACUUGUAUCAGGAACAAACCUUUCCUACGUCUGGAAAUGCUGUGCCUCUGUCUUGCUCCUGACUAUUAAGCUGAAGUCUUUGGGUCAAUAAAGUGACUUGUCCCUACAAAAAGAGAUCCUGGACUAGUCUAAUUCCUCUAUUUGAGGGAAGCUCCAGAGAGUUGGAACUAAUAGUUAGUGAUGAAUUGAGAGCUAGAACACACAUGUUCUGAUCUACAGUCAGUGAAGAUUGUCCUGUGGUAGUUGAUGAAACAGAGAGGGGUGGAGUCAGUAGAAAAACUUGUGAGGAAACCUCCAGUGCCUUAUGUUUUUUCCCUAAGUCAAAAUUUAGAGCUUGGCAGAAUGGAGGUAUUUAUCUGCCUCUAACACCCUCUAUUAAAUGAGGAAACAGCCACAGACUCACGGCAACGCCGGAUCGUUAACCCACUGAGCAAGGGCAGGGACCGAACCCGCAACCUCAUGGUUCCUAGUCGGAUUCGUUAACCACUGCGCCACGACGGGAACUCCCUCGAUUCUUGAUCCAAUGCCAGAUAUAUGGGACUGUGUCUCCGUAUUUGCCUCUGCUAAUUUAUUUGCCUACAAAAUACUGGUAGAAUUGUCUCUGCCAUGUAUUUAUAGAAUUACUCCAGAAGAAGUACUUUGGUUACUUUAAUUCUACGUCAUCGUCUAUGAACACGAUAUUCUUAGUACCACUUUAUAGUGUAAUCAUUCAGCAGAAAGGAAACUUGAGUCAAUAUACAGUGUUAAUUUCAUUUUUAUAAGUUUGAAAAUUGCUUUUAAACUAAAUUUUGAAUAUGAGGUGUGAUUCUUCCUACAAAAUACAGUAUUUUUCUUGUAUCAUGUAAGCAAAUACUAUAUAGUAGUUAAAAAGAGAACCCAAAGUACUACAGAACAUAAAUAAAACACAUAAGGCAACUGAAGUCUGCAAGAUUUCCUGAUAAAGAGAACAGAUGGGUUUUUACUUCUUUAAAGGGGGGUAAAGAUUAGAUAACUUUAACAGGGGAUCUUGGGCAUAUGUCUGAUACAGGUGUGAGGCAGGGAUACUAUAGUGGUCAAAGUCAUGAGCUCCGGAUCUGGAAAUCUUUGGAUAUGAAUUAUGAUUGAGUUAGUACUAGCACUGGGGUCAUGGCCAAGUUAUUUAACUUCUCUGUACCUCGGUUUCCUCAUCUGUAAAAUGGGAGUAAAGACACUCUAUUGUAUAGAGUAGUUAUGAGAAUUAAAUGAGUUAAUUCCAGCAAGUCUUAAGAAAAGUGACUGGCAUGUAGUGAAUGCUAAAUACCUAUAAUACUAAUAUACUAUUUCUAGUAUCUACUAAUACUAGUAUAAUACCUGUUACUAAUAAUUGUAUUAUUCUUAUUGUUACUACCUGUGGAAGCUUUUGACUAGUUGGAUGUAAAUAUAAAUAUUUUAAUUAGAAUUAAAUGAAUAUUAAUGAGUUUUUUGUUGAGAAAGUAUUUCUCAGCACAGAUGGUUCCACUAAGCUAACUUAAUUCCUUGAUCAAUUUUCUCUAUCAUAUAGUUAAACCAUCUGUAAUUUUUUCUAUUUUCCUAUUUAUUUUCCUGAAAGUAUUUUCAUUGGGAUUAACAUUUUUCUGUGUAAAUCCUAAAAUCAGGCUUUUUAAAAUAUAAAUUUGUGCCUAUUAUGGCUUCUACCAUUGUAAGUUUUACUUUGUUCUGGAAUCAUAGUACAUUAUUUUUUAUUAUGAGUCACUAAUAUACUAACCAAUAUAGUCCUUUUAAAGGAUGCAUUAUUAUGCCUUCUUAACUCUGGAGUCAGAGGGCAUAAGCAGAGGUUAUUGUGGCUCUUUAAGUGACCUGGAGUGAGGAUGUCCCUGUAGUGAUGUUUCUGAUGACAGUGAGAGCAGCUUGGCUAUGACUGGAAGUAAACCAAGAUGUUCUGUAUUGAGUUAAUAUGGGGAAAGGAAGAAGGCUCUAAAAAUGGUUUUGCAAAUGCAGAUGCAAAAGCAUCUGAGUUCCUGAAGAAAGGGAAGGCCGUAAUGUUUAGUCAGGCUGUAAAGAAGACUCACUGAAAUUUAAGGAGGAACCAAAGAGGAUUUUUAUGGUGGAUUUCAAAUAUGGUUGUUUCUAAUUGGUUCUAUUCUAGGCAAAUAUAUAAAUACAGACUUGGACUUUUUAAGGAACAUAUUAUUGAAACUAUUCUCUUGCUUAGCAGUCAGUGCCUUCCUGGUUUAGGGUAGGAAUCUCACCAAGAUUUCAGAUAAAGCAAUAAAAACGGAUAUGCUCUGUUGGCUUUAGCAUCAUGUACUAUGGUUGAUAGUUUAUUUAAUGUUUUAUUAAGAUUGAAAGACAUUAGGCAUGGUAUUUUUGAAUGAAGUACCAAUCCAAACCAGUAAGCAUCUGUUAGUCUUCGUGCUUGUCUCUGUUCUGUGAAAAGCAACAUCAUGGCAAGGCUGAAGGUGUUUUGAGCAGUGAUCCAAAUAAUAGCCUUUGAUAAGGCCACUGAUCACCACAAUCAUCUUUAUUUUCUGAUCACUAUGAUGUAUUUUACCUACUAGAGUUGAGGUUUAAGGUGAGUAAUCUCUUUCAAAAAGAAUUAUUAGUUUUGAUCAAUAGCGUAUUGCCUGUAGAUGAGAUUUUUAGCCUAAUAUGGUUUUUUUAGCUGGUAUUGAGAUCCAUUUUAUCCAAGAAAUGAAAGCAGCAGAUGUAUAGUACUUUGGAUUGUUUGGAGUAUGGAUCAGCUAAGUGUUUGCUAUAAAUCAGAGGCAUAAGAAAGCUCAAAAAUCCAGUCUUUAUAUGGAAGUAAUAAACUGUCAUCUCAUUAAGGACAGUAGCUCUGCAUUUGUGUACUGUGGAAGUACCAGAAUUUUCCUACACAUGGCAUGGUAGUGGUUUUUUUGAUGUGCUCCCUGGAAAGAAAUGUGGUCCAUCUUUUUUUCAACUGAUAUACUUUCGGUGUUAUUUACUAAUAAUGGUACAGCCAAAAUAAAAUAGGAUGGUGCAGUGGAACUCAUUUCUUCUCUGUUAUAAUCAGCUGGCUCUGUGAAAGAUGUUUGAGGAAACCCUAAUCACCUACAGCCCUAUAAUGAAUUGCACACCAGAUGUACUCUUUUAAAGGCUUGGUUUGGUUUGCGUUUUUCACCUUUUACUUCAGUUACUAGGCUUUUGUUUGAAGCACUUAAUGUUAAGUGGAAUAAAUGUGACUCUCUAGGCAACAUAAUUGGGUUCUCAUUUUUUCCCAAUAAAGAAAGCAAGGUCAGCAUUAACUUUGCAUUUUCUUCUUAGGCUGCCCUUUGAGUAGGGUCAGGAUUGGGUCAAGGUCAGAAAUAUUGAUUUCUUUUUUGCUAAAAUUUGUAGGAUGACCAAAUGUUUGGGAUAAAAAGCACAUUUGAAAACUUAUAUUUUAGAUAAUAUUCAACUGACGUCAUUUCAGUCAUUUUGUUUGUCAUUACUUUUGACAAAACACUUUUCUGUAAACUUUUCACUUAUUCUUCAACCACAAAGUAUUUAAUCAUACUGAGGAUGCAGGAAGAAAUAGAAUGAACUCAUGACCUCAGGUAAUGUGCUUUAAGUCUUAUACAGAAUUAGCUCUGGAUGACUUCUGUGAAGUGGAUUUGAACUUUCUCAGCUCUUGGAUAACAUUUGUUCUCAUCAGCAUGUCUGCCCCCACCCUGAGUCCCACGGAUUCUGAUCUGCAGUCUGAUUUGGCCUGGAAGUGCCUGUCUUUUCUUGGCUACGAGGAGGUAAUUGGCCCAGGAGAGUCCUCUGUGGGCUCCUCCUAGAGCAGGUGCCACUAAUGGCUUUCCUUCUGAAGUCUCUUGUUAAGGGACAGCCACCCUUGAAGGCUGCUUGUAUUGUCAGUGAUAACUGGCAGCCAGCACAGAUGUCAUUGGCCAGCACUAAAUGAAGAGAGAUCUCGAAUGGGCAGAGAAUGCCAACUUUAUCCAAUGCCUCAUUUCAGGCUCAGGCUCUGACUUGAAAAGAAUUAGCCAAAGGCCCUUCUACUUAACUAAGUUUACUUUGUUAAUGAUUGUGCUUCCUCAGCCAGGCCCCUUGAUGUCCUUGUGUUCUGGCCUGAUUAUCAUUGCCCUAAGGAAGGGUGCCAACCAAGUCCAACAUAACUCAACCAAGAAUUCUAAGUUGUUUUCUUCACAAAAGCUUAUCUGAAUUCAUUGGCAUUUCAGGGACAGGGAAGGCUGUAUUAGAUUGUGGGAUGGUGAUGGCUCAUCUUCUUGUACAAAAUGAGAUAAAAGUGGAAGACAGGAAAAAUAGCCCUGCAUCAGUCACAUUUUGUUAGACUUUUUGCUUAAGGAAUACUUACUUGUGGAGAUUUUGACUUAAUUUGGAAAUUAGAAGAUUUUUUUCUACUCUAUGACAUGCCUUCAGUAACAGUGAAACUUUGUAAUAAUUGCCAGAGUACUGGGAAUGAAAAAAAAAAAAAA